GACGAACCGUGCGAACGUUAUUCGGAAUCACUGGGCUUAAAGGGCGCGUAGGCGGGCUCGCCAGUCAGGGGUGAAAGCCCACGGCUCAACCGUGGAAGUGCCUUUGAUACUGCGAGUCUCGAGGGAGGUAGGGGCGUGCGGAACUUCCGGUGGAGCGGUGAAAUGCGUUGAUAUCCUAAGGAACACCGGUGGCGAAAGCGGCUCACUGGAUCUCUUCUGACGCUGAUGCACGAAAGCUAGGGUAGCGAACGGG
rnacentral:rRNA from 1 species